AUGCCGCGUGCAGGAUGACGGCCCUAUGGGUUGUAAACUGCUUUUAUACAGGAAGAAACACCCCGACGUGUCGGGACUUGACGGUACUGUAAGAAUAAGGAUCGGCUAACUCCGUGCCAGCAGCCGCGGUAAUACGGAGGAUCCAAGCGUUAUCCGGAAUCAUUGGGUUUAAAGGGUCCGUAGGUGGACAAUUAAGUCAGAGGUGAAAUCCUGCAGCUCAACUGUAGAAUUGCCUUUGAUACUGGUUGUCUUGAGUUAUUAUGAAGUAGUUAGAAUAUGUAGUGUAGCGGUGAAAUGCAUAGAUAUUACAUAGAAUACCAAUUGCGAAGGCAGAUUACUAAUAAUGAACUGACACUGAUGGACGAAAGCGUGGGGAGCGAACAGGAUUAGAUACCCUGGUAGUCCACGCCGUAAACGAUGGUUACUAGUUGUUCGGAUUUCGGUCUGAGUGACUAAGCGAAAGUGAUAAGUAACCCACCUGGGGAGUACGUUCGCAAGAAUGAAACUCAAAGGAAUUGACGGA
rnacentral:rRNA from 1 species